rnacentral:rRNA from 1 species
AACGAACGCUGGCGGCGUGCCUAAGACAUGCAAGUCGUACGGAAAGGCCCCCUUCGGGGGGUACUCGAGUGGCGCACGGGUGAGUAACGCGUGGGUAAUCUGCCUUAGGGUCUAGGACAACCCCGGGAAACUGGGGCUAAUACUGGAUAAGACCACGAGCUCCUCGGAGCGUGCGGAAAAAGAUGGCCUCUCCUUGGAAGCUAUCGCCCUUCGAUGAGCCCGCGUCCCAUUAGCUAGUUGGUGAGGUCACGGCUCACCAAGGCUUCGAUGGGUAGCUGGUCUGAGAGGAUGAUCAGCCACACUGGAACUGAGACACGGUCCAGACUCCUACGGGAGGCAGCAGUGGGGAAUAUUGGACAAUGGGCGCAAGCCUGAUCCAGCAAUGCCGCGUGGGUGAAGAAGGCCUUCGGGUUGUAAAGCCCUUUUGUACGGGAAGAAAUCUUGUCGGUUAAUACCCGGUGAGGAUGACGGUACCGUAAGAAUAAGGACCGGCUAACUUCGUGCCAGCAGCCGCGGUAA